GCACGCACUUGCAUGGAAUGCCUGCUGCUGCUGCCUGCCUCUGUUGUGGAGCGGGGGAGGGGCGACGGGCGGUGGCAGCAGCAAGAGACUUACAAAAUCCUGCCUCGCUCUCUUUGUCUAACGCGUCAACGGUCAACCGCCGUUCAAAGUUAAAGUUAUUAACGGACGCAGGACGCCGGACGCCGCCAGUAAGGGACAACACGGACGUCCCGCAGACUUGGACGGAUGGCCUGGAUCUGGCGGUUAACAGGCUUCAAGCCGUCCGCAGCUGUUUUGCACGACGGGAAAAGAUACAAUCGUUUAAGUUCUGCAGUUUGGGCUUCAAGAUUGGCGGUGCUGGCAUCGAAUGAGAGAAAAUUUUGUACCUGAUAUGAUUAAAAACAAAUAAAUUUUAAAAAUUUAACUGAAUAA